rnacentral:lncRNA from 1 species
GUUUACAAUUAAUUUAGAAAUUAAUUAACAUGAGAUGCAAGGAUAUUAAUGCAGCGACUUUUUUUUUUUUUAAAAGAGAAAUGUAGCAUACUAUCCGUCUGUUUAUUUUUUUAAAAAAUAAAUUUAAUUGAAAAUAUAAAUCAAUUAGGAUUCGAGAGAAAAUUUGAUUUGGUUAAUACAAAUUAAUUAGAAUUCGAACUUGAAAUCUGGAAUACCAACCAUCAAGUCAUUUGUCAUUUGUAUUAUGGACUGUCGGUAAUGUAGCCACUU